GACGAACGCUGGCGGCGUGCUUAACACAUGCAAGUCGAACGGAAAGGCCCUGCUUUUGUGGGGUGCUCGAGUGACGAACGGGUGAGUAACACGUGAGUAACCUGCCCUUGACUUUGGGAUAACUUCAGGAAACUGGGGCUAAUACCGGAUAGGAGCUCCUGCUGCAUGGUGGGGGUUGGAAAGUUUCGGCGGUUGGGGAUGGACUCGCGGCUUAUCAGCUUGUUGGUGGGGUAGUGGCUUACCAAGGCUUUGACGGGUAGCCGGCCUGAGAGGGUGACCGGCCACAUUGGGACUGAGAUACGGCCCAGACUCCUACGGGAGGCAGCAGUGGGGAAUAUUGCACAAUGGGCGGAAGCCUGAUGCAGCAACGCCGCGUGCGGGAUGACGGCCUUCGGGUUGUAAACCGCUUUCGCCUGUGACGAAGCGUGAGUGACGGUAAUGGGUAAAGAAGCUCCGGCUAACUACGUG
rnacentral:rRNA from 1 species